CCUACCCCGGCGGGUAGGGCACGGCGGCGGGGGCCGCCCCGGAGGCGGGCAGCCCCUUUACCCGGCGAUUUCCCAUAGCGAGGCGGGCAGCGGGUGUCCGUCCUUGCGCGCGGACCGCGGGAGGCACUAGGCGGCCUCUCGGGGUUCCGUCAGGUCGACGGCUUUUGGUUUCCUUUCUUUCGGGUACUCUGAGGAGAACAAGCUCUGAAAUUACCAGCAAACGAACUCCUGGGGUUCCCCUCUUAACUACAACGGCGGGUGGUCGCCGCCCCGAGCCUCCCGGCAGCAGACCCAGACCCGCUUCUGCGUUGGGGCUGUGGCGGUCCCUCCCCUCGGCCCCCGUCAGCGCCGUUCAAAAGGGGCGGUCGGCACCUGGCGGGGCUGGCUGAAGCGUCGUGCGUGUAGGUAGGUGAAAGACAUGUAAAAUGAUAUUCCAGGAUCUCAGAAAUGUGCCAAAGUCUUCUAGCAAAAAGGAGCAAUUGAGUAUCUAAUAUUAGCAAGCUCUGUAAUAAAAUAUUUAAGACAACAGUUUUGAUUUCAAGACUUGAGGGAUGGAGAACCGAACACAUACCCAAGUUGGGGCUUUCCCCCCUUCCUUAUUCUGAACUCGGCUAUAUUCUGCACUGAACUGCUGCAUCUUAAAUCCUUUCUUCCAGACUGGAGUCCAUGACUGAGAGCACCUGCCAAGUACUUGUACAUAAUAGAAUUGUAUUUUACUUACCCUUGGAUAAACUAAGCAGACUAGACUUCAUUCUUUCACUUAAGUAAGUUUUUCCAGAUUACCUUUUUAGCUUUAAUUGGCUAGGGUCUUUUAGGGGUUGGGUUGGUAUAGCUUCAUUUUCAGUGUGGGGAGAAGGUUUAUUCAAUGACUAAUGCUAAAAAUUGUUCUUGAUCUAGAUCAUUCCCUCAGCAGAACUGAGACUUGUGUAACGGGCACACAGUAGUAGGUGUUACAGGCAACCUUCGGAGACUGUCCUCCCAUACAUGUUCUCCUGCCUGCUUAGCAAAUACUUAGUUGUCAUACUGUAAACAUAAAACACACACCACACCUUACUAGUAUUACCGUAGGGCAAUGGCUGGAGUAACAAAACCCGCCAGCUACAACUUUAAGUGACAAUGGAAUCAAUACUGGAUAUUGGAAUAAACAGAAGUGAGAGAAACUUUACUUGCCAGAAAUUAAUCCAGCACUGGUUAAUCGAUGUUGUUUCAGCAAAUAUUACUACAGGCUUGUGGGCAAUGAACAGAGCUGAGUUUUAAGACUCUACUGGUCUAUUAAAAUGAUAUUUAUACUUAUUUUUGUCAUCAGUUUUGACUAAGAAACUUCCUGGAAAAACAAUCCCACCUUAAUUAUAGCAUAUGAGGUUCAGCUCUGAAGGCUCUUAAAAUUGUGUUU